ACAAGCAAAACAGAAGAAAUACCAGAUGCUGACACCAUUUUUUCUUUCUUUGUUACUUUCUUUUACUUUGUGCUUAUUUGUUUCUUUAUCAAAGUACUAUGGCAGUUUGAUAACUACGGAG
rnacentral:ribozyme from 12 species